rnacentral:rRNA from 1 species
UACGUAGGGGGCAAGCGUUAUCCGGAUUUACUGGGUGUAAAGGGAGCGUAGACGGCAGUGCAAGUCUGGAGUGAAAGGCGGGGGCUCAACCCCCGGACUGCUCUGGAAACUGUACGGCUGGAGUGCAGGAGAGGUAAGUGGAAUUCCUAGUGUAGCGGUGAAAUGCGUAGAUAUUAGGAGGAACACCAGUGGCGAAGGCGGCCUGCUGGACGAUGACUGACGUUGAGGCUCGAAAGCGUGGGGAGCAAACAGG